CUGAAACUGAGACUGCAUCUGG
rnacentral:miRNA from 1 species